rnacentral:lncRNA from 1 species
CUCGUUUUCCCUCCUAAGGUGGUCCAUACUAUCCAUCUUUGCCUUAUGUUGUGAUGGUUUUCAUGGUUUGAGUCUACUAGGACUUCAUAUCCCCCAUCUUCUCUAGUUCUUCUCGUGACUCUCCGUGCAGCAACAAAACUCACUCUCUUGGUCGGAGCCAAUAGUGGCUGGUAGUCGUCCAAAAUCGUUCUACCCUUUCCCUAUUGAUGGUGCCAAUUGUUCUCGCAAGUCUCUUUAACCAAAUAAAUUAGUUUUUUAGGUUGUCCUUUCUUUACAUGUUUAAGUUCUAGCAAUUGGUGCUUUCACUAAAUAUUGUGAUACAGAAAUAGCUACAUAUGCGAUAAAUUAAGGUAUAUUACUGACUAAUGAUAUGCGAGUGAAAUUACCAAAAGAGAAAUGACUCCG